rnacentral:lncRNA from 1 species
AAAAAUGUGGAUUUUGCAUACCCUUCAAGACCCGAUGUAAAGAUUCUUAACAAUGUUUCCUUAUGUGUUCCUUCUGGAAAAACCAUAGCUUUGGUUGGAAGUAGCGGUUCGGGGAAAAGCACCGUGGUGUCACUUAUUGAGAGAUUUUACGAUCCUACUUCAGGUAAACUAUGAGAUUAAAAUGAGGGUGCCAUCGUGUUUUUAAAGUGUCGGUUAAUACGAUGUGCUUUUGUAGGGGAAGUGAUGCUAGAUGGACAUGACAUAAAGACAUUAAAGCUAAGAUGGUUAAGGUCACAAAUAGGACUUGUAAGCCAAGAGCCUGCACUUUUUGCUACCACCAUUAAAGAAAACAUCCUCUUAGGGAGGCCCGAUGCGAACGAUAUCGAGAUUGAAGAAGCUGCGAGGGUGGCUAAUGCUCAUUCAUUCAUUGUGAAGCUACCUGAUGGUUUCGACACUCAGGUUCAGUUCAUUUGAUGUCGGUUUAAUAAUUGCUUUCCGUUUCACCUAAUAUUUGGAUAAUGGCAGGUUGGGGAGAGAGGACUUCAACUCUCAGGUGGACAGAAGCAAAGAAUCGCUAUAGCAAGGGCAAUGUUGAAGAAUCCGGCAAUCUUGUUAUUGGAUGAAGCUACUAGUGCACUAGAUUCUGAGUCCGAAAAGCUGGUGCAAGAGGCCCUUGAUCGGUUUAUGAUUGGGAGGACUACUCUCGUAAUUGCUCAUCGGCUUUCAACCAUUCGGAAGGCUGAUCUUGUAGCUGUACUCCAGGAUGGAAGUGUUUCGGAAAUCGGUACGCAUGAUGAACUUAUGGCCAAAGGAGAAAACGGUGCCUAUGCUAAACUCAUUCGGAUGCAAGAGGCAGCACACGAAACCGCCCUUAAUAAUGCUAGAAAAAGUAGUGCAAGGUAGCUUCCGGUCUCAUGUGUUAAUGCAGUCUUGCUUGUUUUAGAAUGUUAUCGGUUGUUAUGAUUCUUCUGCAGGCCAUCUAGUGCUCGGAACUCAGUAAGCUCACCAAUCAUUGCCCGGAAUUCAUCAUAUGGCCGCUCACCAUAUUCACGCAGGCUGUCUGACUUCUCUACUUCGGAUUUUAGCCUUUCCCUUGAGGGAUACCACCCUAAUUACCGAAUGGAAAAGCUUGAUUUCAAGGAGCAAGCGGGUUCCUUCUGGCGUCUUGUGAAAAUGAAUUCACCCGAAUGG